UACAGAGGUGGCAAGCGUUGUUCGGAAUUACUGGGCGUAAAGGGCGCGUAGGCGGCACGGCAAGUCGGGAGUGAAAGCCCGGGGCUCAACCCCGGAGGGUCUUCCGAAACUGCCGAGCUAGAGUGCGGAAGAGGCAAUCGGAAUUCCCAGUGUAGCGGUGAAAUGCGUAGAUAUUGGGAAGAACACCGGAGGCGAAGGCGGGUUGCUGGGCCGACACUGACGCUGAGGCGCGAAAGCCAGGGGAGCAAACGGG
rnacentral:rRNA from 1 species